rnacentral:lncRNA from 1 species
AGAAGCUCAGUCAUUGGAGAAGAAAACGUCAGUAGUUUGGGUCAUCGUUCCCAUCAUUCCUUUCUUAGCUGCAAUGGGAAGCUUAUAUUUUUGCUACAAAAAGAAACAGAAGUUGAUGUUUUCUGGUUCUGCCCAGCUUCCUGCACCACGAGAAGAGCAUCAAGAGGAGCAGACACUUGAGGUGGCAGAUAUUUGUAGAAGAACUGAAUCCACCAGAGAAGAAGCUGGAUGGGCUGUGUCUACACUUUAUAACUCACUCGAUUCUUUUUACAAUGCGUCAAACUAAAAGAUGACAAAUCCACUGUCACUACUGGACCCAGUGCAGCAGAUGAGCCAAUCCCACGAACUGGGGCAGCUGCAAAGUCUAGAACAAGGGUAUGGUGAGGAGC